CGGUUAGGGGGAUGAUGUACUACUAUCGAGCUCUCAAAAUGCUGGCCUUUCUGGAUUCUGCUUGUGAGAUGGAUAUCAG
rfam:Solanum lycopersicum cultivar Heinz 1706 chromosome 7, whole genome shotgun sequence.